CAAAUACCUGUAUUCAAAUGGUAAGGACACAAGUAGUCUGUUUAUGGAAUAACAAGAAAAGCUCAACGGGAAUCAAGAGCCUUGCCGUGUCACUGGUCCCAAGACUUAUCGCUAGAUCUCCAGGAGUACUAAGUGUUAGACCUGCACAACAUGGUAUAGCCUCAUCAUCAGCAACUUUGUAUUCCAUAUACAAAAAAUCCAGUUGCACUAUACAAUUCCAACAUUUCCCGAAGCUUGUGUAGUUGAAUCUGUACCUGCCAAACUAUUAGGAUUGUCUCCUGACCACUGAACAACCACACAGUUCUUUUCAAAACCGUAUCUGCAACAAAAACAACAACAAAAAGUUGAUGAAUUCGGCACCUUCUAUUAACUAAUUGAGAAGACACAAGCGUCAGAGGUACAACAAACCUGUGAACAAAGUACUGAGAAAUGGAACCAGCAGUAGCAUAAGCUGGUGCUAACUUCCCAAGCUUUUCCUCCAAACCCGUAGCUGUAGCCUGCAAAGUUU